CGAGGAAGUGGAGACAAGGUUUCGGCUCUUCUCUGAGCCUUUAUCAAGCCAGGCUUGAGGAGCCGAAACCUUGUCUCUACUUCCUU